rnacentral:rRNA from 1 species
GACGAACGCUGGCGGCGUGCUUAACACAUGCAAGUCGAACGAAGAGCGAUGGAAGCUUGCUUCUAUCAAUCUUAGUGGCGCACGGGUGAGUAACGCGUAAUCAACCUGCCCUUCAGAGGGGGACAACAGUUGGAAACGACUGCUAAUACCGCAUACGAUCUAAUCUCGGCAUCGAGGAUAGAUGAAAGGUGGCCUCUACAUGUAAGCUAUCACUGAAGGAGGGGAUUGCGUCUGAUUAGCUAGUUGGCGGGGUAACGGCCCACCAAGGCGAUGAUCAGUAGCCGGUCUGAGAGGAUGAACGGCCACAUUGGGACUGAGACACGGCCCAGACUCCUACGGGAGGCAGCAGUGGGGAAUCUUCCGCAAUGGACGAAAGUCUGACGGAGCAACGCCGCGUGAGUGAUGACGGCCGUCGGGUUGUAAAGCUCUGUUAAUCGGGACGAAAGGCCUUCUUGCGAAUAGGGAGAAGGAUUGACGGUACCGGAAUAGAAAGCCACGGCUAACUACGUG